GACAGAGGGUGCAAACGUUGUUCGGAAUUACUGGGCGUAAAGCGCGUGUAGGCGGCAGUGCAAGUCGGUUGUGAAAUCCCACGGCUCAACCGUGGAAGUGCACUCGAAACUGCGUAGCUAGAGUCCUGGAGAGGAAGGUGGAAUGCUUGGUGGAGAGGUGAAAUGCGUAGAUAUCGAGCGGAACACCGGAGGCGAAGGCGGCCAGCUGGACAGGGACUGACGCUGAGAUGCGAAAGCGUGGGGAGCAAACAGG
rnacentral:rRNA from 1 species